rnacentral:lncRNA from 1 species
GUUUGUGUGGGUUUUGGGGUUGAGUAAAGGGAAGGGAUUGGAGUUUGGGUUGGAUUUGUGGUAUAACAAUUUUAGGGGAGAUUAUGCCUUUUUUUUUUUUGUGUGGUUAUUUGACCAUAUUUGUUUUUUUUGUAGGGAAUCAUCGAGACUUUGACGGCUAAAGUUGAGGAUUAGGAAGCUAUCAAAACAUAUCCUCCGCCACUACCACCACAAUACGCUUGUAUUAGGAUUUUAUUAUUGUACUUUGUUAAUUUAU